UACAGAGGGGGCAAGCGUUGUUCGGAAUUACUGGGCGUAAAGGGCGCGUAGGCGGCCUUCUAAGUCGAACGUGAAAUCCCUGGGCUCAACCCAGGAACUGCGUCCGAUACUGGAAGGCUUGAAUCCGGGAGAGGGAUGCGGAAUUCCAGGUGUAGCGGUGAAAUGCGUAGAUAUCAGGAGGAACACCGGUGGCGAAGGCGGAUCUCUGGGCCAUUACUGACGCUGAGGAGCGAAAGCGUGGGGAGCGAACAGG
rnacentral:rRNA from 1 species